rnacentral:misc_RNA from 1 species
GGCAUCUCCUCCAAGUGGAGAGUUGUUUCGGCCUGCAUCGUUUAGCUUCCAAUCUCCAUUGGCUUCACAAGCAGCAUCACAACCCACAAAUUCAGUUGCAUUCUCUGGUGGCUUUGGCUCUGCAAUGGCUACUCAAGCCCCGUCGCAAGGUGGGUUCGGUCAGCCUGCUCAGAUUGGAGUAGGGCAGCAAGCUCUCGGUAAUGUUCUUGCUUCAUUCGGACAAUCAAGACAGCUUGGUCCUAGUCUCCCUGGAACUGGUUCAG